GCCUCACAGCGCCCAGGAGAAGGCUGCGUAACCAUCCGCUGCCCAACUCACAAAGAGUCCUGCGGUAGUUCUUCUACCAAGGCGGGCGGGCAAGUGGCCAAGUACCGUGAUGUUGACCAACAUUCAGCGCCGGCCCAAUCGUCCCUCCCUGGUGCCGUAGCCCGGAUUCAUCUCCCCUCCCCCUAGCCCUCAAGCACCCCAGUGACGUCAUUGCUCGGGCGGGCUGUCAGCGCGCGGACGGAGCUGUCAAUCAACACAAGUUGUGCAAGAAGUGGAAGCUGGAGAUGCUGCUCUGUUCGGAUCGCUACCACCACACCACAGUGGCAGCAACGACAUCACUUAAAGCCGAUCAAUCACAACAAAACUGUUACUUUUAAUAUAUGUGCAGGGCAGAUUCUAUUUUAAUGCAUUAGGCUCUCUCUUACCACCCUAAUGAUCAAAAAGAGCGCGUCAAGGUGACGUACCGGGAAGGGGAGGCGUAGAAGUCGUUGAAAACCCCCCUGAGAAAAAUCUUCAUUUUCAAAAUCUAUUUUAAUCUUUCACAACUUUAUUUGAGCCAGGCUAUGUCAACAUUAGUUAUCUGGAAGCAAAAAUAAAAUUGCGGAAGUUUUGACUCAAUCCCAACGUCAUCGUCCUGGAAAUCUAAGGGACAAGGUAAAAGCUCCCCACAAACACCAAUCACGAAAUUUGGUAAUCCACAUCAAACACGAAACGGUGCUGGAAAGCAUGUCGCUGCUUUUUCUAAACCUCCACUCAACUUGAUUUACUCGUUUGCUUUUUGUGAAAUACAUUUCCAUUUGGCACAAGAUUCAGCGAUCGUCCACAUGCUUGUAUGUGGCACGUCAGAUUUAUAAAUAGGGGUAAACAGAAUAGUACGAUAUAUGGCAAGAAAAUAGUUUAUUUCUUAAAGCUCAACAAAUUUCAUUUAAAACAAUAGCGGUCGUAACAAGAUAACUAGAACUUUUCAAAAUGAUAGCAGUAUUUAAUUACAUAUAUAUAGAGAAAGAGAAACGCGCUUGUGGGAGUUACUAAAUAUUGCUUGUCACUAUGAGGGGGUUAAUGUCACUUUGAUGGGUAAAUUAGAGAUCCAUUUUAAAUUUCGGGCCUAAGCAAGAAAUUAAUCUGCAAGACUGUUAACUGGGUUAUAGCUUUAACAACAUGUCUAAAGAAGUGAAAAAUAAUUAUUUAAAUUCCUAUCCUGGUAUGAAAGGUUAUCAGUUACUCAUUAUAUAACCUUCCGAAAAAAAUGCCUACCAUACAUCGAUACAGGAUGCCUGUCUCUUUAGAUCUUUGCAUAUCAAAUAGCUAAACUAGGGAAGCUGGAAACAAAUAUAAGAAGGGCAAAUGACAUAUGCAUUUGCCACUGACUGACCUG